CGCCUGUCGGGACCCGAAAGAUGGUGAACUAUGCCUGAGCGGGGCGAAGCCAGAGGAAACUCUGGUGGAGGCUCGAAGCGAUACCGACGUGCAAAUCGUUCGUCUGACUUGGGUAUAGGGGCGAAAGACUAAUCGAACCAUCUAGUAGCUGGUUCCCUCCGAAGUUUCCCUCAGGAUAGCUGGAGCCCAUUACGAGUUCUAUCAGG
rnacentral:ncRNA from 1 species